GCCGGGCAUUGUGGCAGGUGCCUGUGGUCCCAGCUACUUGGGAGGCUGAGGCAGGAGACUUGCUUAAGCCCAGGAGUUGGAGGUUGCUGUGAGCUGUGAUGCUACGGUACUCUACCCUGGGGGACAGCUUGAGGCUCUGUCUCAAAAAAAAAGAGAUACAGAGUCACUUUUUGUUACUGUUAGUAAAGUGCCAUGGUGUGACAGCUCACAGCAACCUCAAACUCUUGGGUUGAAGCAACUCUCUUGCC
rnacentral:sRNA from 1 species